rnacentral:lncRNA from 1 species
AGCAAGCAGUCGUCCGCCGAGAGGGAGACGAGGGGGGGAAGGAGAGCAAACCGAAAGCGUCCGGGUUUCGCACACCCGUUAUCGCGACCUAACAAAGCCGGAGUCACUAAGCACAACCUACCGCGCGCGGGUCACCGCAACCCGGGGCUCAUAACCUGUUGGAGAUAUUGGGGUCGGCUGGCUAGGACUCACGGCGGGUGCGUUACACACGAGCGCAGCUAUGCUGCCUGGCACCGUAUUGGGGGGUCUGGUCCGCUACAUCCUGCGUGUGUAGUUAGCAAAACGUGCGCUCUAGCCGGGGCAAUACCCCCCGGGCGCCACGCCUGCGGCCUGGGACUGGCUGACAGACGUGACCGGCCACGAGCCGUCAACUGCCGCACUGACCUCGCCUAUCACGCGGUUCGGGACGCAACCUUGCGGGACUCACGCCCGCAAACCCCAAAUAACCAACACUCCCCCUCGGACCGAACCGGGUCCAACAGUCAACCGCCACAUGACAGCCAACUAACAACAAGGGGAACAGGCAAGGCCAAUCACUGGCCGCAGAGGAGGAAUUACCUCCCCCUCAAAGAAGCACGUCUGGCACAGCUAGCUAGUUGCCCCUAUGCGCUGCAACACAGGCGCGCGUACCACGAGUCACACUGCCACUUGUCGCUGCCCAUAUGCUAUACCCAAGCUGCCAACCAAAGGCGCUAGGCGCAAAUUACACGGGCGCAUCAGGCGCGCACACCGCCGCUGCUGAUGACGCCGUCACUCUAGGCUCCACUGAGUCACGCAAAGCUGGCACAAGCAGGCAGCCAGCCGUCACGCUAGCCAAAGAGCCGCUGGUCACCAACGCAGCUGCUGUCCAGGCUGGUCGGCGCAAACUGUGGCGGCGGCGUGACGUGCAGCCUCAACGGAGCUGCGCAAUCAAUGGCCGCCAUGCGGUGGCAGCGCCGCCCGCAGCCGCCAUGAGGCAGCGCGGUCGGCAGCCGCCGAAGCUGGCAGCGCCGCCCGCAGCCGCCAUAAGGCAGCGCGGUCGGCAGCCGCCGAGGUGGCAGCGCCGCCCGCAGCCGCCAUAAGGCAGCGCGGUCGGCAGCCGCCGGAGGUGGCAGCGCCGCCCGCAGCCGCCAUGAGGCAGCGCGGUCGGCAGCCGCCGGAGGUGGCAGCGCCGCCCGCAGCCGCCAUGAGGCAGCGCGGUCGGCAGCCGCCGGAGGUGUGGCAGCACCGCCCGCAGCCGCCAUGAGGCAGCGCGGUCGGCAGCCGCCGAGGUGGCAGCGCCGCCCGCAGCCGCCAUAAGGCAGCGCGGUCGGCAGCCGCCCGAGAUGGCAGCACCGCCCGCAGCCGCCAUGAGGCAGCGCGGUCGGCAGCCGCCGAGGUGGCAGCGCCGCCCGCAGCCGCCAUGAGGCAGCGCGGUCGGCAGCCGCCGGAGGUGGCAGCGCCGCCCGCAGCCGCCAUGAGGCAGCGCGGUCGGCACCCGCCCGAGAUGGCAGCACCGCCCGCAGCCGCCAUGAGGUAGCGCGGUCGGCAGCCGCCGAGGUGGCAGCGCCGGCCGCAGCAGCCGGGUGGCUGCGCAGGCCGCGCCCGCCGGGUGGCUGCUGCUGGAACCGGCGCUGGCGCUGCUGCUGGAGCUGGGUCCGCCGCUGCCCGAAGGCGCGGCGGUGGUGUGUGUGCCGCUGUCGUGACCAGAGGCGGCGGCGCCGCUGUCGCCCUGGGGCGCGGUGGGCGCGGCGGGGCCGCCGCCGGCCGCCGGCGGCGCCAUGGCGGGCGCCGCCAUGACGGCGGGCAUCAUGGUCACUGACAGCGGGUACUGACCGUCGCGCAGCCGGCCGCGCAAGAGGAUGUGGCCGGCGUGCCCUAUGGUCACGUCCCCCCCCCUCGAAGACUACCCUAGUGCCGCUGGCCGCCAGCCGGCGCACGGAUAGCAGGGUGAGGUGGGCUGCUGGCACGUACAGCACGCCCGUCACGUCCACGAGCUGGCCUCCCGAGAGCAUCCGGAGAGUCCCCAAUCCCUUGACUGGGCUGCUGCGACCAUCCCCCCACAGCACGUGACUCACUCUCGAGGUCAGCUUGAAGUCGUGAAGCAGGUGCAGGAGCGGCGUGAUGUGAGCGAAGGUGCCGGAGUCAACGACGGGCACGUCGAAGACGGCGGCGGCGCUCCUGGAGCUGCCACCACCAGCACUGGCUGACACCACGCUGCUGCUACUGCCGCCUGCGUUGGGGCCCAGCAUGUUGUCUCCGCUCAAGUCGCGGACGACGAACACGUGGCCGCCGGAACUGGUGGUCCAGGACAACCGCGCGGUGGGGAAAGGACAGCAGGCUGCUGCUCGCGCCCGUCGGCGACGGCGCGGCGCUGCCGCUGUAGCUGCUGCUGCCGAGGCCUCGGAGGGCCAGGCUGCUGCGGCUGGUGCUGAUGCUACUGCUGCUACCGCGGACCCCACCCGCGGAGCUGCGCAGGCCGAGCCCGCCGGGUGGCUGCGCAGGCCGGGCCCGCCGUUGUCCCACCCAACUGGCUGAGAAUCCGGGUUCACUGCUGCAAUGGCUGUGGCGGCGAACACGCUGAUGCUGUCGUACAGCUGCUGUCGUACACACCGCCCCCCGCCGCCGCAGACGUAGCAGCAUUGACAGCUGCUGAAAACUGCAAGGGAACAUUCUGAGGGCAAGGGGCGAAGCCGCCGCCAGCGCCAUAGGCGCCAGCGGCUCAGCAGCAAUAUGCUGCUAGUGCAUGGUGGUCCGCACCAGCACCAGAGGCGCUAGCGCAAGAGCAGGUUGGGGACAGAUGUGUCGCCACAACAACACCGCACAGGCUUGCCCGCCCAGUCCCAACUGCGGCGAACGAGAAUACUGCGAAGCCCAUUGGCCCACUGCACGUCCCACAUCACAAAUGAAUUGCCACUUACACAGCAGAUAGCCUGGCAAGGGCUACCAUCACCGCUGCCCACUGGUAUGGUGAUGAGAUGCUGCGCCUGCCGCCGCUGCUUUACGGCGCGGCGGAACCAGGGUUGGCCAUUUGCCGCCGCUGCCCACAGGCGCGGCAGCACUUCCCGCCACCAGCGCUGCGGCAUCGCUGUUACUGCCAGCCGCACGCAUGCUUAGGCGGGGAAAUAGCUUCGACCGUCCUGACUCCGGGAGAAGCGCGAUAGGGCAGGCUGCAGACGCCACGCCUGGGCUGCCAACACACACCCCACUGCUGCGACUCACGCCGGAAUACAGAGGGAAGCUGCACGUGGCAGCGUGACAUGGGAGCGGGGUAACGCAUCUGCUGCACAGUUCCGCCGUCGCUGGCGAAACCUCCCCCUGCUACCGCACACCGCUGCUGCGAGUGCUGGAGAUGAGCAACGUACCAUAGGUCAGCAGCCGCCGUGCUAGCCGCAUAAACUCAGAACGGCGACCUGCCGUCGCUGCUAAUCACAUAGCGCGCCGUUGCUGCUACUGCUGCUGGGCCGGGUCCGGCCGCGCUGUAGCUGAGAUGCUGAAGUCACUGCUGCUGGCGAAGUCUCCCAGCCCUCGCCAGCGCUGUGCACACCGCCACCGGUCAUGCCGUGACUACCUGCGCACCCGCCGAAGCCAUUGGCCCGGCGGCGCUGCAGGCGCGGAGGCAUCACCACCGGUAACCCAAUCCCGCGGCUGAUACCCACACGUGAAGCACCUACUUGGAGGGCAGCAAGACCACCCGUAGUCCGCGGCCGCCGCAAAGACACACGUCCAGCGACGCCGCUGCCGCCGCCGUAGCUCGCAGGCACGGCGCGCUGCUUGCUGCUGCCACAACUGCAAAGUCGACUGCAGUGAUGAGGCACAAGGGAGGGGGACAGCAGGCAGCCACCAAGGCACGGGGCCCCGGCACGCUGCUGCACAAGCGGGCACCCUGUGGCGGGCCGCUGCGCACUGCUGUCUGCCGCUACCAACGCGAGGGACGCGCAGUAGCAGGCCUGCUGACGCUACGCUACUGCCGCGGUCUGCCAGCCCGCGGUCUCGCUAUAGCUUCUGCGCCCGCCGGCACGUCAGUGACGCCGGCGGUGCAGGUGCCAAGGGCCCAGCGCUGACUAUGCCGCCGCCAGCCCGACCAGGUCCAUAAAGCACGAUCAGCAGCACCACCAUAUCCCGCUGCCACCGCUGUCCACGCCGCGCGACGCCCCCGCAACUGCCAACCCCGCCAGCAGUUGAGCCCACUGCCCUACUGCUGCGGCGGUGGAGCUACGCUGAGGCACAAUGCCCGCGACGCGACCGGUGGAGACACUCACUCAAUAUUGAAGUGCCCAUGCAGGCUGCUGUGGCGAUGACGCUGCUGCAGCACUGCAGUUGCUGUCGCCCCCGCAGCUGCUGCCGCCGCUGCAGCCCGAAGGGGCGCGGCGCGCGCGCUGCAGCCGCCGCAGCCGGUUGACUCGGCCGGGGCGCACAGCUCCCACCCCUAGACACCUGACGGCGAGGCGCCGGACUGCUGCUGGAGAGUAGACGCUCCGCGAAAGCAAGCAGUCGUCCGCCGAGAGGGAGACGAGGGGGGGAAGGAGAGCAAACCGAAAGCGUCCGGGUUUCGCACACCCGUUAUCGCGACCUAACAAAGCCGGAGUCACUAAGCACAACCUACCGCGCGCGGGUCACCGCAACGCGGGGCUCAUAACCUGUUGGAGAUAUUGGGGUCGGCUGGCUAGGACUCACGGCGGGUGCGUUACACACGAGCGCAGCUAUGCUGCCUGGCACCGUAUUGGGGGGUCUGGUCCGCUACAUCCUGCGUGUGUAGUUAGCAAAACGUGCGCUCUAGCCGGGGCAAUACCCCCCGGGCGCCACGCCUGCGGCCUGGGACUGGCUGACAGACGUGACCGGCCACGAGCCGUCAACUGCCGCACUGACCUCGCCUAUCACGCGGUUCGGGACGCAACCUUGCGGGACUCACGCCCGCAAACCCCAAAUAACCAACACUCCCCCUCGGACCGAACCGGGUCCAACAGUCAACCGCCACAUGACAGCCAACUAACAACAAGGGGAACAGGCAAGGCCAAUCACUGGCCGCAGAGGAGGAAUUACCUCCCCCUCAAAGAAGCACGUCUGGCACAGCUAGCUAGUUGACCCUAUGCACUGCAACACAGGCGCGCGUACCACAAGUCACACUGCCACCAGUCGCUGCCCAUAUGCUAUACCCAAGCUGCCAACCAGGCUCAAAUUACACGGGCGCAUCAGGCGCGCACACCGCCGCUGCUGAUGACGCCGUCACUCUAGGCUCCACUGAGUCACGCAAAGCUGGCACAAGCAGGCAGCCAGCCGUUACGCUAGAGCUGCUGUCCAGGCUGGUCGCCGCAAACUGUGGCGACGGCGUGACGUGCAGCCUCAACGGAGCUGCGCAAUCAAUGGCCGCCAUGUGGUGGCAGCACCGCCCGCUGCCGCCGUGAGGCAGCGCGGUCGGCAGCCGCCGAGGUGGCAGCGCCGCCCGCUGCCGCCAAGAGGCAGCGCGGUCGGCAGCCGCCGGAGGUGGCAGUGCCGCCCGCAGCCGCCGUGAGGCAGCGCGGCCAGCAGCCGCCGGAGGUGGCAGCGCCGCCCGCUGCCGCCAUGAGGCAGCGCGGUCGGCGGAGGUGGCAGCGCCGCCCGCAGCCGCCGUGAGGCAGCGCAGUCAGCAGCCGCCGAGGUGGCAGCGCCGCCCGCAGCCGCCAUGAGGCAGCGCGGUCGGCAGCCGCCGGAGGUGGCAGCGCCGCCCGCAGCCGCCAUGAGGCAGCGCGGUCGGCAGCCGCCGAGGUGGCAGCGCCGCCCGCAGCCGCCAUAAGGCAGCGCGGUCGGCAGCCGCCGGAGGUGGCAGCACCGCCCGCAGCCGCCAUGAGGCAGCGCGGUCGGCAGCCGCCGAGGUGGCAGCGCCGCCCGCAGCCGCCAUAAGGCAGCGCGGUCGGCAGCCGCCCGAGAUGGCAGCACCGCCCGCAGCCGCCAUGAGGCAGCGCGGUCGGCAGCCGCCGGAGGUGUGGCAGCACCAGACGUAGCAGCAUUGACAGCUGCUGAAAACUGCAAGGGAACAUUCUGAGGGCAAGGGGCGAAGCCGCCGCCAGCGCCAUAGGCGCCAGCGGCUCAGCAGCAAUAUGCUGCUAGUGCAUGGUGGUCCGCACCAGCACCAGAGGCGCUAGCGCAAGAGCAGGUUGGGGACAGAUGUGUCGCCACAACAACACCGCACAGGCUUGCCCGCCCAGUCCCAACUGCGGCGAACGAGAAUACUGCGAAGCCCAUUGGCCCACUGCACGUCCCACAUCACAAAUGAAUUGCCACUUACACAGCAGAUAGCCUGGCAAGGGCUACCAUCACCGCUGCCCACUGGUAUGGUGAUGAGAUGCUGCGCCUGCCGCCGCUGCUUUACGGCGCGGCGGAACCAGGGUUGGCCAUUUGCCGCCGCUGCCCGCAGGCGCGGCAGCACUUCCCGCCACCAGCGCUGCGGCAUCGCUGUUACUGCCAGCCGCACGCAUGCUUAGGCGGGGAAAUAGCUUCGACCGUCCUGACUCCGGGAGAAGCGCGAUAGGGCAGGCUGCAGACGCCACGCCUGGGCUGCCAACACACACCCCACUGCUGCGACUCACGCCGAAAUACAGAGGGAAGCUGCACGUGGCAGCGUGACAUGGGAGCGGGGUAACGCAUCUGCUGCACAGUUCCGCCGUCGCUGGCGAAACCUCCCCCUGCUACCGCACACCGCUGCUGCGAGUGCUGGAGAUGAGCAACGUACCAUAGGUCAGCAGCCGCCGUGCUAGCCGCAUAAACUCAGAACGGCGACCUGCCGUCGCUGCUAAUCACAUAGCGCGCCGUUGCUGCUACUGCUGCUGGGCCGGGUCCGGCCGCGCUGUACGUAGCUUAGAUGCUGAAGUCACUGCUGCUGGCGAAGUCUCCCAGCCCUCGCCAGCGCUGUGCACACCGCCACCGGUCAUGCCGUGACUACCUGCGCACCCGCCGAAGCCAUUGGCUCGGCGGCGCUGCAGGCGCGGAGGCAUCACCACCGGUAACCCAAUCCCGCGGCUGAUACCCACACGUGAAGCACCUACUUGGAGGGCAGCAAGACCACCCGUAGUCCGCGGCCGCCGCAAAGACACACGUCCAGCGACGCCGCUGCCGCCGCCGUAGCUCGCAGGCACGGCGCGCUGCUUGCUGCUGCCACAACUGCAAAGUCGACUGCAGUGAUGAGGCACAAGGGAGGGGGACAGCAGGCAGCCACCAAGGCACGGGGCCCCGGCACGCUGCUGCACAAGCGGGCACCCUGUGGCGGGCCGCUGCGCACUGCUGUCUGCCGCUACCAACGCGAGGGACGCGCAGUAGCAGGCCUGCUGACGCUACGCUACUGCCGCGGUCUGCCAGCCCGCGGUCUCGCUAUAGCUUCUGCGCCCGCCGGCACGUCAGUGACGCCGGCGGUGCAGGUGCCAAGGGCCCAGCGCUGACUAUGCCGCCGCCAGCCCGACCAGGUCCAUAAAGCACGAUCAGCNNNNNNNNNNNNNNNNNNNNNNNNNNNNNNNNNNNNNNNNNNNNNNNNNNNNNNNNNNNNNNNNNNNNNNNNNNNNNNNNNNNNNNNNNNNNNNNNNNNNNNNNNNNNNNNNNNNNNNNNNNACACACCGCCCCCCGCCGCCGCAGACGUAGCAGCAUUGACAGCUGCUGAAAACUGCAAGGGAACAUUCUGAGGGCAAGGGGCGAAGCCGCCGCCAGCGCCAUAGGCGCCAGCGGCUCAGCAGCAAUAUGCUGCUAGUGCAUGGUGGUCCGCACCAGCACCAGAGGCGCUAGCGCAAGAGCAGGUUGGGCACAUCCUGCGUGUGUAGUUAGCAAAACGUGCGCUCUAGCCGGGGCAAUACCCCCCGGGCGCCACGCCUGCGGCCUGGGACUGGCUGACAGACGUGACCGGCCACGAGCCGUCAACUGCCGCACUGACCUCGCCUAUCACGCGGUUCGGGACGCAACCUUGCGGGACUCACGCCCGCAAACCCCAAAUAACCAACACUCCCCCUCGGACCGAACCGGGUCCAACAGUCAACCGCCACAUGACAGCCAACUAACAACAAGGGGAACAGGCAAGGCCAAUCACUGGCCGCAGAGGAGGAAUUACCUCCCCCUCAAAGAAGCACGUCUGGCACAGCUAGCUAGUUGCCCCUAUGCGCUGCAACACAGGCGCGCGUACCACGAGUCACACUGCCACUUGUCGCUGCCCAUAUGCUAUACCCAAGCUGCCAACCAAAGGCGCUAGGCGCAAAUUACACGGGCGCAUCAGGCGCGCACACCGCCGCUGCUGAUGACGCCGUCACUCUAGGCUCCACUGAGUCACGCAAAGCUGGCACAAGCAGGCAGCCAGCCGUCACGCUAGCCAAAGAGCCGCUGGUCACCAACGCAGCUGCUGUCCAGGCUGGUCGGCGCAAACUGUGGCGGCGGCGUGACGUGCAGCCUCAACGGAGCUGCGCAAUCAAUGGCCGCCAUGCGGUGGCAGCGCCGCCCGCAGCCGCCAUGAGGCAGCGCGGUCGGCAGCCGCCGAAGCUGGCAGCGCCGCCCGCAGCCGCCAUAAGGCAGCGCGGUCGGCAGCCGCCGAGGUGGCAGCGCCGCCCGCAGCCGCCAUAAGGCAGCGCGGUCGGCAGCCGCCGGAGGUGGCAGCGCCGCCCGCAGCCGCCAUGAGGCAGCGCGGUCGGCAGCCGCCGGAGGUGGCAGCGCCGCCCGCAGCCGCCAUGAGGCAGC